GACAGAGGGGGCAAGCGUUGCUCGGAAUUACUGGGCGUAAAGGGCGCGUAGGCGGGAUGGCAAGUCGGUCGUGAAAUCCCUCGGCUCAACCGAGGAACGUCGAUCGAUACUGCUGUUCUUGAGGAUUGCAGAGGAGACUGGAAUUCCCGGUGUAGCGGUGGAAUGCGUAGAGAUCCGGAGGAAGACCGGUGGCGAAGGCGGUCUGCUGGGCAGUUUCUGACACUGAGGCGCGACAGCGUGGGGAGCAAACAGG
rnacentral:rRNA from 1 species